CAGAUAAUAGUUUAUGAAAAUAUUAACUUUGGAAGUUAAAGAUAGGUUAAAAUACUUUUUUCUGA
rnacentral:tRNA from 1 species